rnacentral:lncRNA from 1 species
CACUGAAUCCUGCUUUGUGACUAAAGGACUUGAGUCGUUUGCAGAAUCUUCACGCAGAGUCAGGCUGCCAUGGCAGACCAGCGACAGCGUUCACUGUCCACCUCGGGGGAGUCGCUGUACCACGUGCUGGGGCUGGACAAGAAUGCAACCUCGGAUGACAUCAAGAAGUCCUAUCGGAAGCUGGCCUUGAAGUAUCACCCUGACAAGAACCCCGAUAACCCGGAGGCGGCAGACAAGUUCAAGGAGAUCAACAACGCCCACGCCAUCCUGACCGACGCCACCAAGAGGAACAUUUACGACAAGUACGGCUCGCUGGGUCUCUACGUGGCCGAGCAGUUCGGGGAGGAGAACGUCAACACCUACUUCGUGCUGUCCAGCUGGUGGGCCAAGGCGCUCUUCGUCUUCUGCGGGCUCCUGACCUGCUGCUACUGCUGCUGCUGCCUGUGCUGCUGCUUCAACUGCUGCUGCGGCCGGUGCAAGCCCAAGGCCCCUGACGGCGAGGAGACCGAGUUCUACGUGUCCCCCGAGGACCUGGAGGCGCAGCUGCAGUCCGACGAGCGGGGAGGGCACUGACACUGUGCGGGAGUGUUGGUGGUGGCGGCGGGACUGUUGUGUGAACGCGGACGCUGGAGAGGCCGCAGACGCUCCGAUCGCCGUCCAGCCGGCCUCGGCCACGGAGACCACCCAGCUCACGGCCGACUCGCACCCCAGCUACCACACCGACGGGUUCAACUAAGUUCAGGAGGAGCUGCAACGAGAGGGUCAGCGCCCGGCCGGCCGCUCAACCUUAGAAUCAUGAACUGUAGUCACAGAGCUGGCGCGGGAGCCGCUCCGGCCACGGGAAGGGCAGCGCCCGCCCGCCCGCCUCUGUGCCCGCCCGCCAUCCGUCGAUCCCGACCCACGAAGCGCGUAGCAUGCAGUAUUUAAAGCAGUUUAGCUACGGUCUUCUGUUGUUCCUUUCUUUGACAGCAUGUAUGGGUUCUGUUCCAUGUCCGUCUGUGUUGUGGGCGUGUUGCAGCCAGGCCGUGUUCACCCGGCGGGGCGGGGGCAGGGGGGCGCCUCAGGGCUUUCAGUCCGGUCUGUGCCCUGGGUGGAUGGCCCGCGUGGCGCCUCGCGGCCAGGCGGGCCCAGACAGGCUGGGAGCUGUGGGGUCUGCCCGGUGCCCUCUGUGCACGACCGUGUGGCCGCAGGCAGGGCCGUUGGACUCAGGCGCCUGGCGGGAGCUGGGCCCAGCCGCCCGGCGUGGCCCUUCCGUGGUGUUGGUCCCGAGGACAGUCUGUGCGGCCUCUUCGCCUUGUGGGCUCGGCCUGGCAGCGGGCGUUCCCCGUGUGCGGCUGUGGCGGUCGCUGCAGGAGGCUCUGCUGACCACAGUCUUGCCGUGUCGGACCUGAGGCCGGUCCCCGCCCCCUCACCAGGCGUGGGAACGGUCCCGCACUUGCCCAGGCCACGGGCCGGAUGGACAGGGCCCCCUCCCGCAGCCCCGCUCCCCCCGCCCGCACCUUGUCUUCGCCCACAUCUCUGCAGGACCCCCUGGCCCUUUCGGGACCCCCUCAGCAUCGCAGAUGGCAGCAGUGGCCCGGGCCUCGGGAGUCGGGGGCUGAGAGUCCUGGCUGCCGGUGGCGAGCGGCCGUACAGCCCUCCCCUGUGCCACCCAGAGCGCCCAGCCGCCCCCUUCCUUCGCAUGGUCCCUUUGGCUGGUGUUGAUGGCUCGGGUAGAGCUAGAGGCAUCGGACUCAGAGGAAGGACCAGCUGGACCAAAGGCGCACUCUGGGUAGAGGGGUGGGUUCCAGGAGGCCCUGGGCCCUUCAGCGUGUUUGCCCGCGGCCAGGCCACGGAAGCCCUGGGAGGGCGCUCCUGCCUGGCCUGUGCGUGGCACUGCCGGGUUUCUGCAGAACGAGCCGAGGGAACAGCCAGUGGGAAGGACGGGGUGGGGGCCGCACGCAGGGAGGUCAGACGCACCUGAAGUCACUGGCGGCAUCGGCAGCGUCCCCUGUUCCCCCUCCCCCCCGCCCCCCCGCCGCCAUGGCCCGAGCACUCCAGGAGCCGUGCUGGGGGAGGCCCCGUUUUGUUGGGGGUUUUGUGCGGGAGGAUGAUCACGGAGGUGUCCAGUGAGGGAGGUGCGCCCUGAUACUGAGCUAGAAGGGCCCCGGGCUUGGGCUGCUGGGAGGGUUAGGAAAUGCACUGUCUCACCGCCCAGGACGGGGAGGAGGCCCCAUGCAGGGCGGUCUUCACUGCCAGUUCCCGUCCAGCAGCAGGAGUCCAGCCCGAGGGGGAGGCAGCCAGUCUUCCUGCUGUCUCUGGAAAUAACUAGGAAGUGAGUUGUUUGCCCCGAACGGCCAAGAACCCAGCUCAAAGCUUCGGGCAGGAAGCCGCCCCUGCACCGUGUCUGUGCUCUUGCUUUGUGUCCAGAAGCACUGAGGCCCGUGGCACACGCCAGUGGUCCCCUGCCGGGGGUCUUUCGGUUCUAGAAUCUUACGGAUCGUCUCCUAGAAACAUGACGCUCCCUGGAGGCCCGGGUGGCGUGGGAAGGAGGGGCAGGUCUGGGUCGAACCCGUCCCCUGUGGGGUUUGUAAAAAUGAGAUAAGUGGUGAGUGAUGACAGCAGCCCUCAAGCCGAUGCUGAUGCUGCCCCGAGGCCCAGGCCCCCGGGAGCUGAGCCCGGGUCUGGACCACCCCCCGCCUGACCCAACCCGAAGCGUGUCCUCUCUGGGGUCCGGGGCAGAAGCCUUUCCCAGGGGUCUACUGUCCACACUCGCAGGCCGCCUCCUGGCUGGAGACCAAGGUCCCCGGGUGCCCUUUGCCCGCGUGGUUGUCUGUUCUCUGGGGAGCAGUGUCGUGUCUGGAGGGGUGCAGCCGCGCCUGUGCUCGGCAAGGACAGCUCUCUGCCUGUCGUGGUGGGGACAGGCGUGCUGUGGGCCUCACGCUAGGUGGCCCGCCGUGGCCAGGGCUGGGGGACCCGAGGGUGGGUGGGGACAGGGCUGUGCACGUCUCUGUUUGUGCGUGGUGACUGGUUCCCGGGUCUUCGGGCCUUACCCUGCUUCCCGCUGCUUUCGCUGUGAGCCCUCCCGCUUCUCUGGUCAGUCGAGUGGGACCGCUGGGCAAAGCCUGGGCGCGCUGGGCGGGGCGGGCGGCGUGUCCACACCGCUGGCCGGGGAGCCCGUCCGGGGCGGCCUGGUCAGCAUCUGGAGGGAGUGCGCCCGGGAGAGCCCUGCCUGUCCUGGCUCAGUGCGUGCGCCCGGGGGGCAGCUUGGAGGCUGUGGCAACGGGCCUGAUCGCAUUCCUCUGGCGGCUUCUGAGCUGUGAACUCUGUGACCCGGGACUCACCUGUUGCGCUCCUCCUCCUGUGGAAUUGGCAGCCAGCUCCGUUUCCUCCUGUCGUUUCAAGCACGGUUGGCGUCGUCUGCUGUAGGUGUGGGCGUAGUGUGGGUGUAGUGUGUGUACAUAUGUGUAUAUGUAUAUAUCACGCAGCAGGCGUGACUGCUGCUGUCCAGUGGCGAAGCAACAAGUACAAUAAAAAUCGGCUCCAAAUUGGCCUCUGGUUUCUUGACGAGUCGCGGUGGGAGCCGGGCCUCAGUGUCUGGUGUCUUGCUCCUUGCGCGGAAGGCGGCACCGACCCCGCUGUGCGCCCGGAGCCGGUGCCUGCCCCCUGCGAGUCCAGGGCGGGGGCAGGACCACCCAGGCGGCGACUGGGCAAGCGCUGCCCAUCCCUCCCUGGGCCCCGUUGCUCUCCUGACCCAGAGGUGGGUGGCACGGCCCUGUGACACUCAGGUGGCUGGAAACCCUCCCUCUCUUUAAACAUGAAAACCAGUUUAUGCACCAGAUGGAGUCUGACAGCUGUGCUCAGAGGGCCCCUGUCCUGCCCACAGACCCACCCUGCGGGUUCCUGAGGAAGACGGGGCCACACCGCCACCCUCCAGGAGGGGGCUGGCCGCGGCGCGUCUCUGGAAAAUGGGGUGAUGUGGCGGGGGAGGCAGUUUACACUGAAACGUUCCCGACGUGGUGAGAAGCUCUGUGCGGGUGUGGGAACCGUUGUGGUCCCCGUGCUGCUCUCGUCCUCCUGGGGCCUGACCUCUGCCCUGGCGCCUGUGCACACCGGGGGCCAGUCUCUUCUGUCUGAAUGUUGACCUGUGAUAAAGAUAACGUGUAAAAUAAAUGUUUUCACCG